rnacentral:rRNA from 1 species
GAUGAACGCUGGCGGCGUGCUUAACACAUGCAAGUCGAACGGUGAAGCAGGAGCUUGCUCUUGUGGAUCAGUGGCGAACGGGUGAGUAACACGUGAGCAACCUGCCCCUGACUCUGGGAUAAGCGCUGGAAACGGCGUCUAAUACUGGAUAUGUGAUGUGACCGCAUGGUCUGCAUCUGGAAAGAAUUUCGGUUGGGGAUGGGCUCGCGGCCUAUCAGCUUGUUGGUGAGGUAAUGGCUCACCAAGGCGUCGACGGGUAGCCGGCCUGAGAGGGUGACCGGCCACACUGGGACUGAGACACGGCCCAGACUCCUACGGGAGGCAGCAGUGGGGAAUAUUGCGCAAUGGGCGGAAGCCUGAUGCAGCAACGCCGCGUGAGGGAUGACGGCCUUCGUGUUGUAACCCUCUUUUAGCAGGGAAGAAGCGAAAGUGACGGUACCUGCAGAAAAAGCACCGGCUAACUACGUGCCAGCAGCCGCCGCAG